rnacentral:lncRNA from 1 species
GGUUCCUAUUGUGUGCGUGCUAGUGACCCAAUCACACGCAUGGAAGCGCACGCAUGGAUGCCAGCCAUACCACCUCUUCAGGCAGUCUGUUUCCAUUAGGUCACAAGCAUGAAGGUGAAAGAAAAAAGACAAUUAUUCCACGUGAACAGGUGAAAGAACAAUCUUCGACCACCAGACUCAACUUGAGUUGUCUUAUGAAUCUGUACUGCUCUCAGUUUUCUUGUACCCAGAUUCUUCAAGGGCACAUGGAAUGGUGGCUGCCGAUGGAAGUGGCGAGACCUCAACGGUGCCCACCCCAGCUGCACUUGCUUCCUGGGGAUCUGCAUCGCUGCAGCCUAACCUUGAGGGGUGGCAGGGCAAGUGCUGUUUCCCAGCUCACUCUCAUUCAACAAUUAAGAUACAACUGCUACGUUUUCAUCUAACAAUACUGGGAGAACAAAAUACGACUCAAUGGUGAAAUGUAUUCUGGGUUAUCUGAUGAAGUUUUAUCUUUAAAUAUUUUGUUAUCCAUUUUUGGCAUUGCUAUGAAUUUGGGACUGUUGCCACCAACUCUGAGGGAUUUUAAACUGCUUUUAGAGUUUGUGAGAACCAAGCCUCAGGGGAUGCAUGAGUCAGUUGAAGCACUGUAGUCUUGUUGGUCUCUCUUUGACAUUUCAUGUCUCUGGCAUAUCUGAAUUUAGGUUGGGAACUGGAGGUUUGGUACACUUGUAUCUAUUACUACCCUUCAUAAUCUGGCCAGUUCCAUACUCAUGGAAAACAAUUUGUUUGUUCCCAGAUGGCUGCAGCAUUUCAUUUAGAGUUGGGCUUUGGGAUUUCUUGAAGAAGGAAUGCAAAAGAGAAACAUGCUUUAAAAAAGGUUUAAAUUUCUUCCAGUAAACGACUUGCUUAGUAUGCUGAAGACUUUUUGGGGGAGCAGCUUACUUAUCUGGUAUUUAGCAGUCAAAUCCUUGGCAUUUCUGCCUGUUGCUUCAUGUUUUCCAAUGGAUUUGGAGGAAGAGUUGUCCUGGAGACUUCCAAGUUAGCUCCACUGACCUACAUUUUCACUCCAUUUAACAUUAUUGACUGUGGAAUGAGCCAGAGUGCCGUGGAAGAGCAUAAUUCCUGAUCAGAAGACAGCUGCAAUUUAAUUAGAAUAAAGCAGUGACUACCAUGUAAUUAAAAAUUAGAUGAACCAUUGAAUGCUAAGCGGACUUCUAGAAGGUGAACUUAGGAUUUCAAACCUACCACUGCAUCUCUGCAUGACAUGGUGGAGAUCUGCCCUAUGAAGACCCCAGCACGCUGGCAGCCCAUCUGUCUUGAGGACUGUUUUGUGACGGGGGAGUCACGUUGGCCUGAGGGGAAGAAUAAUAGAUUGGGAGUGGU